AUAAUGCCAAGAAAUCCAUGUACCGAUGUACGUACACACAGAGAAGAGAGACAAAAGAAAUAACAUAAUUUAUAAAGAGGUCUACAGAUUGAGAUUGACAAAAGAAAACAAGAACACAAUGUAUAGCCUUGA